rnacentral:rRNA from 1 species
UACGUAGGGUGCAAGCGUUAAUCGGAAUUACUGGGCGUAAAGCGUGCGCAGGCGGCUAUGCAAGACAGAUGUGAAAUCCCCGGGCUCAACCUGGGAACUGCAUUUGGGACUGCAAGGCUUGAGUACGGCAGAGGGGGGUAGAAUUCCUGGUGUAGCAGUGAAAUGCGUAGAUAUCAGGAGGAAUACCGAUGGCGAAGGCAGCCCCCUGGGUCGAUACUGACGCUCAUGCACGAAAGCGUGGGGAGCAAACAGG